UGGGGAAUAUUGCACAAUGGGGGAAACCCUGAUGCAGCGACGCCGCGUGAGCGAAGAAGGUUUUCGAAUCGUAAAGCUCUGUCCUAUGAGAAGAUAAUGACGGUAUCAUAGGAGGAAGCCCCGGCUAAAUACGUGCCAGCAGCCGCGGUAAUACGUAUGGGGCGAGCGUUGUCCGGAAUUAUUGGGCGUAAAGGGUACGUAGGCGGUCUAUUAAGUCAGGUGUGAAAGCGUGAGGCUUAACCUCAUUAAGCACUUGAAACUGAUAGACUUGAGUGAAGGAGAGGAAAGUGGAAUUCCUAGUGUAGCGGUGAAAUGCGUAGAGAUUAGGAGGAACACCGGUGGCGAAAGCGGCUUUUUGGCCUGCAACUGACACUGGGGCGCGAAAGCGUGGGGAGCAAACAGG
rnacentral:rRNA from 1 species